UCUGGGAUAGCUCUGUUGGUAGAACAUGAGACUCUUGAUCUCAGAGUUGUGGGUUCAAGCCCCACAUUGGGCAAAA